rnacentral:tRNA from 1 species
CGCGGGUACGACGAUGGCCGUCAUCUGGCCUCAUAAGCCAGGUCUCGCCGGUUCGAUUCCGGCACCCGCUCCCA